GGGGGCGACCUGGUCUCGACGUGGGUCGCGAAGCAGUUCAGGGCAUGCCGAGGACCAGAGCCCUCGUAAAUCCAUCUGGAAACACUACAAACGCAAACGACGAGCGUUUCGCUCUCGCCGCCUAACACCGGCGAGACGCUGCACUAGCCUGCUGAUGGGUUAGGCCUCCGCAAGGAGGUGCAGCGUCAUUCACAUCAGCCUCUCUGCGCGGGGUGGUCGCUUCUCCGCGUGGAUCCGUCGAAGCGACUGGCCAAACGCCUGCCUGCCGGUCGGCGGGCGCGAGGCGAGAUCUGAUGAUACGGCUAAGCAUGUAGUCCUGGGUUGUGGAGGGCUUGCGGACGCGGGUUCGAUUCCCGCCGCCUCCACCA
rnacentral:tmRNA from 1 species